rnacentral:sRNA from 12 species
GUAAAAAUAAGAAUUUUAUCGAUACUGCUCGCAAAAGCGAGAGCUGCUAGGUGCAGCAG